GACGAACGCUGGCGGCGUGCUUAACACAUGCAAGUCGAACGGUAAGGCCUCUUCGGGGGUACACGAGUGGCGAACGGGUGAGUAACACGUGAGUAACCUGCCCUUGACUUUGGGAUAACAUCUGGAAACAGGUGCUAAUACCGGAUAUGAGCCUUUUCCGCAUGGGGAGGGGUGGAAAGCUCCGGCGGUCAUGGAUGGACUCGCGGCCUAUCAGCUUGUUGGUGGGGUAGUGGCUCACCAAGGCUCCGCCGGGUAGCCGGCCUGAGAGGGCGACCGGCCACAUUGGGACUGAGGUACGGCCCAAACUCCUACGGGAGGCAGCAGUGGGGAAUAUUGCACAAUGGGCGGAAGCCUGAUGCAGCAACGCCGCGUGCGGGAUGACGGCCUUCGGGUUGUAAACCGCUUUCAGCAGGGACGAAGCUAACGUGACGGUACCUGCAGAAGAAGCACCGGCUAACUACGUGCCAGCCGCCGCGGUAAUAC
rnacentral:rRNA from 1 species